rnacentral:rRNA from 1 species
CUACGGGCGGCACCAGUGAGGAAUAUUGCACAAUGGAGGAAACUCUGAUGCAGCAACGCCGCGUGGAGGAUGACGCAUUUCGGUGUGUAAACUCCUUUUAUAUGUCAAGAAAAUGACGGUAGCAUAUGAAUAAGCACCGGCUAACUCCGUGCCAGCAGCCGCGGUAAUACGGAGGGUGCAAGCGUUACUCGGAAUCACUGGGCGUAAAGGACGCGUAGGCGGGAUAUCAAGUCAGGUGUGAAAUCCUACAGCUUAACUGUAGAACUGCACUUGAAACUGGUAACCUAGAGUAUGGGAGGGGGAGAUGGAAUUAGUGGUGUAGGGGUAAAAUCCGUAGAUAUCACUAGGAAUACCUAAAGCGAAGGCGAUCUCCUGGAACAUAACUGACGCUAAGGCGUGAAAGCGUGGGGAGCAAACAGGAUUAGAUACCCGGGUAGUC